rnacentral:rRNA from 1 species
UACGUAGGGGGCAAGCGUUGUCCGGAUUUAUUGGGCGUAAAGAGCGUGUAGGCGGCCAGGUAGGUCUGCUGUGAAAACUCGAGGCUUAACCUCGAGCUGUCGGCGGAAACCAUCUGGCUAGAGUCCGGAAGAGGAGAAUGGAAUUCCCGGUGUAGCGGUGAAAUGCGCAGAUAUCGGGAAGAACACCCGUGGCGAAGGCGGUUCUCUGGGACGGUACUGACGCUGGAGACGCGAAAGCGUGGGGAGCGAACAGG